GUUUCUCUUCCUUUUCUUUCCUGACAAGCAGGUUUUUCUUCACUUGUCAAGGUGGGAGUUGAGAGUGUGGGGAAAAAAUUUAGCGUUCAGUUGAAAAUUGGUUGAUCAUGUGAUGCUGUUACUAUAAUCUGAAAAUUUGAGUGCCCCUUGGUAGUCUCAGUCAUAAACUCAUGAUACAGUUUUCCACAGAUUUUCCUUUGUAGUUAGGAGCUCAAAAAAAUAAAAAUGUUAUCUACUUAUACUAUUGGAUAGUUUAGCCCUUGGGCAUAAUACCUUAGAUAAGCAAAUUAUGAGCUAAGCAAAACAAACUUUCUGAACAAAACACCAUUUUGGUGGCUUUUAGUACAUGGAUUUGAUUAGCGCAUAUUCCGAGAAUACCUGUUCUUUCCACAUAUUUUUUCAUGAAAUAUCAGGAAGCAUUUUUUUAAUAUAUAUAACGUAUCUACUUUACCUGCCAAUAGGUAUUAAAUUUGCCAUGAAUUCCUUCAGCUCAUCCCAAGUAGAGAAUAACCCAGCCCUCAAGGGAGAAAAUUCAAUCCUAACAAGUACGAUAGUGAGGAAAUGGGCAAACUCAAAGCAGAACUGCAUUGAACUGGUCAAACUAAUUCACAUGGUAGACUACUUUUUAGACAGCUAGUUUCUCUAAAUCCUCUUCUAAAGAAAAACCAUGGACAGCUUAAAUGAAAACUAGGUUUUUGAAAUGAUUAACAUUUGUUAUAUUUUGAAGCCUCAAGCAAGAUAGAAGGUCUUAGAAUCUCUGAUUUAAUUGUCUCUUUUUACUCGUUGGGUCUCUCUUUAUUUUAGCCUCAUGGAAUGGCAUGAGUUAACAAAAAGAAACCUUACUCUUCAACAAGUUUGGCCUUUGGAUCAAUUGAAAUUACUAAGAUCUCUUCAGGAAUUCAAAGCUACAUUGAUACUCAUAGAGCCUCAUUGAUAAAUCUGAGCUUUUUAAAAACAGUUUAGACCUCUUAUGUUAAGUAGCUUACUUGUCCAAUAUAAAGAUAUCAUUCCAACAGUCAAGUUAAACCUUAGCAGAGUAGCAAAGGUUGCAUCUUUACAUCUUUGCCCCCCAAAAUUUUAGUCUCCUUGUAACUUAAUUCUUUUUGACAGUGUCUCAUAAUUAUCCUCGUGUUCAUGGUCUUUUCUUAGCUAUUUGCUCCCACUUUUUCUUAUCUUUAGUUGUAGCAAUAUCACAACUUAUUUUUAUGAGGGGGUAUUGCUUUAACACUAAAAGCUAACAAAAUACCUUGACACCAAAUGAUUAACCAGAAAAUGAAAAAACUAGUAGAAAAAGGCAAAGUUUUAUGUGCUAUAUACCUUGAUCACUGGUGUUUGGUCAGUGGUUUGAUCAAACUAGUGCUUAUCAAUAGAAGUAAUAGAUUAUAUCCUAAAUAGUAAUGUUUCAAGUUUUCUUAAAAAUGUGGAAGAAUACCAACAGACAUUCCAUAAAUGUAUAUCCAUGCCACGUAUCAGCCAGUUCAUUUAUACAUGUUUUAUCUUGAAGGCUCCCUAAUUAAAAUGGAGAUAAUUAACCUGAAAGAGUUCGUAUAGUGGUUGAU
rnacentral:lncRNA from 1 species